rnacentral:lncRNA from 9 species
AAUUUCGUGGCUUUAUUUCAUAAAAAGCCAUUUCAUCAUGGUUUUUGGGUGGUCAUAAUUGAAAGGAAAGAUUCUUCCCCUGAGAGAGUCUCCCUAGAGAGCUGUUUUUGACAUUGAUAUGUCUCCCUCUUGGCCAGAAGCCACAGAAGAUGCCCCCCGCCCCAUGUUAGAUCAUUAAUUUGUUCUACACAUGCACGGGUCUACACAGACUAAGCUGAGAAUCUAGGCAAUUAGGCAAUUAAGUCAAGCAAAAAACGAUGCUUGUGCUCCACUGAGCCACAAUUUUGGUUGACAGUGGCUUUGACUUGACUUGUCCAGAUAAUUGCUUCCAGUCCUCCAUGGCCGUCCUGCAGAAUGUGUGAGCUCCUCAGAGGCGGCGUGAUUGGGGGUUGGGGGGGGUGCGUGUGGACAGUACCACCAUCUUCUUCCAGCAGGAUGGAGGUUGAAUUCUGAUGUCCUUUGUUUCAGUUAAAAACAACCUGUUUUAGUUCGGGUUCCCCAAGAAGUUGACCCUUAGACAAGAACUCAAAUGAAAUGGGUUAGUCUGGAAGGGGUUCAUUGGUAGAGAGAUGGGAAAGUAAGACAGUAAAGUAAGAGGAAGCAGAUAAGGAGCCCACUGCUGCAGGGGAAAUCUGGGAGCCAGGUAGAACUUGGCUUAGAACUCCCACUGCAGGGGGCCAUUCAGACUCCCAGGGGUCAGUGUUGCGGGUCUUCACUGGGGCAUCAACUCUUUAGCCCUUGGGACACAACGGGCUCCAGCUCGCCUCGAGAGCUCACCCUUAGGCCAGUAAAGCAAAUGCUGGCCUGGGAGGUCUGGCUGGUGGGGGCAGCCAAGAUGAAUCCCAAAGGGUCACAGGUGGGACGGGGGGACCAGCCGUCCUUCCAGUCUUCCUUGAGCCAAAAGACCUCAAUUUUUGCCGUUUCAGAUCUGGAUCGACCUUGCAUCCUUUCUCUGCUUUCCAAACAAAUCCGAAUGUUCGGACAUGAACUUGACAGUGUUCAUCUCACCGUUGCCCUGGAGACAUGGCUGGCGACUGGAGGGGACCAUUUCCAAGCUCGAUGCGUGUGCUGUGGAGUCCAGGAUCUCAAGCUUUAUUGGGUUGGCCAGAGGAGGAGGGGAAAGAAAAGUUAA